UGCAGGACUUCUCAGAACCUUUAGAAUUCUUCUAGAUGCUCAUGUCCAUCAGGAAAUCCUCCAAUGGACUUUUUUCCCAAGAAAUAUUUAGCGUGCUCCAUGGAGCCCUUAGUGGGCAGUGCUACCUCGGUAGAGGCACCUGGCUGAAGCUCCGUGGACAAAACAGGGCUGAGAAAGUGGUCUCUGGAGAUCGGAAGACCCAGGUGGAUGCAAUUAUCAAAUUCCACCCGUGGUGCCCUUGAGAUGUGCACGUUGUACUGCCUUGCGUUGGGGAUUGAAAAUGUACCAUUUGUUUCGGUGUUCAAAGAAAACAUUUUAAUAGUCAAGCUUAUGCCACAGAUGAGAGUUCGUGGUUCCAGGCCAGGGAUUGUACCAGCUGCAGGGCUGGGCUCGGCCUUCUCCACAGCGAUGCUGCUGGAAGUAUUGUGCACACAUGGGACCGGUGCCGGCUCAAAAACUAGUACCGGGCUGCUAUGAGUAAGUAGAAGUUGAGAGUGAGAAUUUAGAAGGUUUCAGAGCAGUUUUACGUGGCAUGACAUCCAGUGCAUGACCAGGGGACACGUCCAUCUGGCAUGUCUAUAGGA